UUAAGUUUAAAAAGGAAAAAAAACUAGAACGUCGACAUAUUAUAGAAACAAGAUGUUGGCAUUCCUAUCCCUUUUCUUAUUGAUAUCAGGAGGGUUGUGUGCAGUUGACCACUGUAGCCAGAAUUGUACAGCGGAGCAACAACAAAUAUGCGGAUCUGAUGGUAAAACAUAUGUAAACUCGUGUUAUUUUGGAGUUUCGUCUUGCCAGGCCCACGAAUCAAACAAGAUACUGUAUGAAAUUCAUAGUGGAGAAUGUUCUGCACAGGGUGUUCAUAAUCAGCUUCCCGCCUGUACUCGUAUUUGUGAAGAGGAUUUAGAUCCCGUAUGUGGUUCAGAUAACCAAAUUUAUAAAAAUAAAUGUCUGUUCCAGAGGGCUCAAUGUCAGUUGGCUACACAAGGUCAACAUCUUGGCGAAAUAUCCACAACCACUACAAGCUGUCCUACGCCUAGAGCGAUUAAUUGCACACAAUAUAAACCUGAUGUUGGCAAUCUAGCUAUCGAGACAUCGGGGUUGAAUUUAAUACAAUGUCAACGUAAACCCCACACUCACAAUCAAUAUCAGAUUUGUGCUUCCAACAACAAGAAUUAUCGUGAUGAAUGUGCUCUUUGUCACCACAUUGAAAGUAUCAAAGCUCACAACAAGGGACAGACUACAGCUACUAAUUUGAUGAUUCUCCAUGAUGGUCGUUGUAAAAGAGGUGUGGCCUAUAACCCACUUGGUUUGAAUUUGAUUGGUUAAUCUCCCAUCAAAUAAAAUACUAUAUAUCAC